UAUAUGUACAGAUUAGGGCUACUUCUACUUA
rnacentral:piRNA from 1 species